rnacentral:rRNA from 1 species
GAUGAACGCUGGCGGCGUGCCUAACACAUGCAAGUCGAACGGAGUUUARCGCUGAUGAAGCUUCGGCAGAUUCUUGUUAAACUUAGUGGCGGACGGGUGAGUAACGCGUGGGUAACCUGCCUCAUACAGGGGGAUAGCAGUUGGAAACGACUGAUAACACCGCAUAAGCGCACAGGAUCGCAUGAUCURGUGUGAAAAUAUUUAUAGGUAUGAGAUGGACCCGCGUCUGAUUAGCUAGUUGGUGAGGUAACGGCCCACCAAGGCGACGAUCAGUAGCCGGCCUGAGAGGGCGGACGGCCACAUUGGGACUGAGACACGGCCCAAACUCCUACGGGAGGCAGCAGUGGGGGAUAUUGCACAAUGGGCGAAAGCCUGAUGCAGCGACGCCGCGUGAGUGAAGAAGUAUUUCGGUAUGUAAAGCUCUAUCAGCAGGGAAGAAAGACCUCGUAAGAG